GCUUAGCUCAGUUGGGAGAGCAUCGCCCUUACAAGGCGAGGGUCACUGGUUCAAGCCCAGUAG
rnacentral:tRNA from 1 species